rnacentral:tRNA from 2 species
GCGGACGUGGCGGAAUUGGUAGACGCGCUAGAUUUAGGUUCUAGUACUGCAAGGUGUGUGGGUUCAAGUCCCUCCGUCCGCA